rnacentral:rRNA from 1 species
UACGUAGGGUGCGAGCGUUGUCCGGAAUUAUUGGGCGUAAAGGGCUCGUAGGCGGUUUGUCGCGUCGGGAGUGAAAACGCCGUGCUUAACACGGCGCUUGCUUUCGAUACGGGCAGACUAGAGGUAUGCAGGGGAGAACGGAAUUCCUGGUGUAGCGGUGAAAUGCGCAGAUAUCAGGAGGAACACCGGUGGCGAAGGCGGUUCUCUGGGCAUUAACUGACGCUGAGGAGCGAAAGCAUGGGGAGCGAACAGG